rnacentral:tRNA from 1 species
GUGACUUCCAAUCAUUUAGUUCUGGAACUAACCCAGAAGAGA